CUGCUGCCUCCCGUAGGAGUUUGGACCGUGUCUCAGUUCCAAUGUGGGGGACCUUCCUCUCAGAACCCCUACUGAUCGUCGCCCCGGUGGGCCGUUACCCCGCCGGCAAGCUAAUCAGACGCAUCCCCAUCCUUUACCGGCCGAAGCCUUUGGUCAUGAAAAUAUGCAUCAACAUGACAACAUACGGUAUUAAUCCGCCUUUCGACGGGCUGUCCCAUAGUAAAGGGCAGGUUGGAUACGCGUUACUCACCCGUGCGCCGGUCGCCAUA
rnacentral:rRNA from 1 species